UACGUAGGAGGCAAGCGUUGUCCGGAAUUACUGGGCGUAAAGCGCGUGUAGGUGGUGGGACAAGUCUGCUGUGAAAGCGCCUGGCUUAACCGGGCGAGGUCGGCGGAAACUGUCCGACUCGGAGGACGGUAGAGGGGGGUGGAAUUCCCGGUGUAGUGGUGAAAUGCGUAGAGAGCGGGAGGAACACCAGUGGCGGAAGGCGGCCUUCUGGAC
rnacentral:rRNA from 1 species